rnacentral:rRNA from 1 species
AGCGAACGCUGGCGGCAGGCCUAACACAUGCCAGUCGAACGAACCUUUCGGGGUUAGUGGCGGACGGGUGUGUCACACGUGGGAACGUGCCUUUAGGCUCGGAAUAACUCAGGGAAACGUGUGCUAAUACCGGAUGUGCCCUUCGGGGGCAAGAUUCAUCGCCCUUAGGGGGGCCGGGGUCGGCUUAGCAAGUGGGGUUAGGGAAUGGCUCACCAGGGCUACAUAAAGUAGCUGGUCAGAGAGGAUGAUCAGCCACAUUGGGACUGAGACACGGCCCAAACUCCUACGGGAGGGAGCAGUGGGGAAUCUUGCGCAAUGGGCGAAAGCAUGACGCAGCCAUGCCGCGUGAAUGAUGAAGGUCGUAGGAAAGUAAAAUUCUUUAACCGGGGACGAUAAUGACGGUACCCGGAGAAGAAGCCCCGGCUAACUUCGUG